rnacentral:rRNA from 1 species
UACGAAGGGGGCUAGCGUUGCUCGGAAUCACUGGGCGUAAAGCGCACGUAGGCGGCUUUCUAAGUCAGGGGUGAAAUCCUGGAGCUCAACUCCAGAACUGCCUUUGAUACUGGAGAGCUUGAGUCCGGGAGAGGUGAGUGGAACUCCGAGUGUAGAGGUGGAAUUCGUAGAUAUUCGCAAGAACACCAGUGGCGAAGGCGGCUCACUGGCCCGGUACUGACGCUGAGGUGCGAAAGCGUGGGGAGCAAACAGG